UGGGUGGUAAAUUUCAUCUAAAGCUAAAUAUUGGCCAGAGACCGAUAGCGCACAAGUAGAGUGAUCGAAAGAUGAAAAGCACUUUGGAAAGAGAGUUAAACAGUACGUGAAAUUGUUGAAAGGGAAGCGCUUGCAACCAGACUUGCAUGCAAUUGAUCAUCCAAUGUUUUUCACUGGUGCACUCGAUUGUAUUCAGGCCAGCAUCAGUUUUGGUGGUUAGAUAAAGACCUUGGGAAUGUAGCUUCUUUCGGGGAGUGUUAGAGCCCUUGGUGCAAUGUAGCCUACUGAGACUGAGGACCGCGCUUUGGCUAGGAUGCUGGCGUAAUGGUUGUAAGCGACCCGUCUUGAAACACGGACCAAGGAGUCUAACAUUUAUGCGAGUGUUUGGGUGCAAAACUCAUACGCGUAAUGAAAGUGAACGGAGGUGAGAACCCUUAAGGGUGCAUCAUCGACCGAUCCUGAUGUUCUCGGAUGGAUUUGAGUAAGAGCAUAACUGUUGGGACCCGAAA
rnacentral:rRNA from 1 species